rnacentral:tRNA from 1 species
GCCAGCGUCGCAUAGCCCGGUAUUGCGCGUGGCUCGAGACCACGUCCCUUCGGGGGUCCCCGGUUCGAAUCCGGGCGCUGGCG